GUGAUUUUAAACUACUUAUAAUAAAGUUAGUUUACUUAAUUACCUUCCUGUGUGUUGCUGGAAAGCACACCAUUAGUUUUCUGCUAAGGUAUGUCAGCAGGGUGGGUUUUUGGUAUGCGGGUGCCACCAACCUUCCCAUUCUACUCUUUGGAUUACAAAUUCCACAUGGAACCUGAAAAGUCUUUGCUAGUGCAGGUUUUGUUGCUUGCUUUCAUCAAAGCUGAUGUUGUCUCAUGACUAACUUUAACUUCACCGAAUUACUUUUCAGUAUAGAACAGUUUAUUAAAAAUUCCAGAGCAGCAGUGGUUGAUGGCUCCAUGUUUGACUGCAGUGGUGUCUCCUAGCAACUUGGCUGAAAAAUGAACAUCCAGCAGGGAUGCUCUGACUGCUACGUAAAACCGUGUUUCUCUUGAUGAGGCUAACUCAACCAUCUUCACUGCUGUCCUCUGCACUAAAUGUUGUGCCGUACUGUUGAAAGCGCUUCUCAAGAUCAGCAUUAAAGGUAUAAUCUUUUAAAAAGACUGCUGUUGUUAGUUGUAAACAAUCACUCCUCUUUGAGAUUUCACAGGUACUGUGACCAAAGCUUAUAUGGAAAGUACUUUUCAAUUGACAAGUGGGACACGGUGACAGCACUGCAAGAUCUACACAGGCAGUAAGCCUGAAGGGGCUGUAAUUGGAACAGUAGAGUUUGGCCUGCUGUAUUUCACCUCAAGAAAUCAAAGGAGCAGUUGAAGUUGGAUUUCUCCAUGUUUUUAUAUUCAGAUAUCAACUCCACUCUGCUUUGGGUGUGAGAAUACCUCUGAGGUUGGACUAGCAAGUUCCUGUACCUGCCUCUGGCCUUAAAUGAUUAAAGGUGCUGAACAGAUGACUCUUGCGUGGUUGAAAAGCACUAUAAAGAGCUGAGGGGGCUUGAAUCUUGCUUUUUUUCUGAUCUUUUCCUUU
rnacentral:lncRNA from 1 species